AUGCUGCGCAACAAGUAUCUAAACCAAAAGGCAGUGUCUCAGGCAUAUUGGACACCUGGCGACUCGCACUUUUGGGCUGGCCUAAUUGCAGCAAAGAAACAUUUCUUUCGCUUUGGGUCUUUCACGAUAAGGGACGGGUCAGAGGUUUGUUUCUGGGAAGACAUCUGGCUAGGCAAUGCCAGUCUUCGAGAACAAUAUCCAGCCCUGUGCAACAUUGCUCGCGAAAAGAAUAAUACUAUUGCGCAAGUGCUCAGUUCAUCCCCACCCAAUAUUUCGUUUAGGCGGGAUUUGAUUGGCCCCCGACUUAUGUCAUGGCACAAUCUUUUAUCCCGUCUGGAUUCGAUUAAUAUUAGACAAGGUCGGGAUGUGUUUCGGUGGAACCUUACUACAUCAGGGUCAUUCACAGUAGACUCUAUGUACCGUGCAGUCAUGCAUUCUGAGGUACCGGUGAGUAACAGUAAGAAAAUCUGGAAGUCGAAGAUUCCACUAAAAGUUAAAAUCUUCAUGUGGUAUCUUCGUAGGGAAGUUGUUCUAACCAAAGACAACCUCGCACGACGCAACUGA
rnacentral:rRNA from 1 species